UUUGAAGUAGCCUUGAGUAAAAGGAGAUAUUCAUGAUCCGGGGGAAAAAUAAUCAGUUUUAUUCUAAAACUGAUGCUGCGUCUUUUGGAAAGAGUAUUGUUACCUAUGGAAUAUUUUGAAGUUUACAAUACAUAAAACUUAAAUCUCAGCACGCACGACUCUGGGGGGGAAAAGUCAUUAGUCACAAGAAGAGGAAAUAAACUAACUCAUUAGGCCAUGGCAUCUGAGUCACUAAAUUAAUUCAGAAGGGGCUGGCUUCCUCCACAUGUGGAAUCCCAGGUAUUCAUUUAUUCAUCCAAUUUGUGUCACGCCCUUGAUAGCUUCUCCAUCCGUGUGCCAGGCCGCGGAUGUGCAGAUGCAGAACACAGACUCACUUCUGGGAAGGAGGGGACGGCCGGCCUGCGGCUCCACGGGAGACUUUGCCCCCAACAAGGUAGCAAAGCAGAAAAAGGAACAGUGCCUGGCACCCAAACAUGGAUUUGCUGGUGAUGCUGUACCCUGGGACUCCCCAAAAGUACAGGACGGAAGGCGCUUUCCUGGGAGCUCGAUUCUGUGUGAAACGAUGGUAACAAACUACAAUUUAGAUUAUUAGAGUGGCUUUGUUUAGUCCACAUCUGGUAUACAAUCAGGGUUCUCCAGAGAAACAGAACAAUGGGAGCUACACAGAUACACAAGAGGAGAGCUGUGGUGAGAACUGGCUGACACGUCUGUGGGGGGGAGGCAAGUCCCAUUGGCACGCCGUCUGCAAGCCGGCCAGCCAGGGAAGCCGAGGUGGUACCUUAGUCUGUGUCCAAAGGCUGAAGGCCAGAGAACCAGGAACUGCUCUGAUGCCCAAGAGCAGGAGAAGAUGGACGUCCCAUCUCAAGAAGAGAGAAUUCACCCUACUUCUGCAAUUUUGUUCUCUCUGGGUGAGCCCUCACGUUCACCCACACUGAGUGAGAGCAGAUUCUUCUUACGUGGUCUAUGAUUUAAAUGCUAAUCUCCUCCAGAAAGACCCUCACAGACACACCCAGAACUAAUAUUCUACCAGCUACCUGGGUGUCUCUUAACCCUGUCCAGUUGAUGCAUAAAACUAACUAUUCCUCUUGGUCAGGGAAACUUGGUUCAUACCCACUGCAUGGGAUCCAGCAAGAUCCACCCAAGCCUGAACCUGGACGUGACAAAUGCACUGUACGUGUCAGAUUCCCUCAGAAACCACUCAGGGAACCCAUGCUACCCUUUGAAGUAUGCUCAAAACAGCGGGCAGUGUUCUGAGGGGAUCCAUCAGCAUUUCAUGGCAAACAUCUUCAGGUAAGCACAUCUUUGAGCAUUUACAAUGUGCCAGUGAAAUAAACCUGCAAGAAGGGACUGGAAUUAUCUCGGUCUUCCUCAGCACUCCACAGUUUACGAAAUACUUGUAACAUUUGUAAUGUUCUAAAGUACGUAAAGCUAUGUACUAGGAUACUAGUUAGCCAGAAGUUAUGCUGAUUUCACAAUUGGGGGGAUGGCCCAGGAGUCGCGCUCAAUUGUCUCUGGGUUCAGCCCUGUAACUUGGAGCAUGACGUCACUCCCUCUUGACAGUUACGGAAAUGGACUUUGAGAGAGCCAGCAAAGUAACUUGGCUAAGGUCAUAAGCAGCAAAGCUGGGAUUAAAUCUCGGUCUGACUUUAGGAUAUUUUCUAGUAUCCCACAACAUACGGCCUGCAGAGUUCAAGUGGAAGUAGGAGAUCAGUAACUGCAGUUUGAGAGUAAAAUUCCUGACCCUACUUUUUCAUUAAUUCAAGUCUACAGACAUUGUGAUCUCCAAAUAGCCAGCCUCAGGGGAGUCCUUACAUCAAAGCACUCUGGGCUUAUGGAUCCCAACAAUCAGAACCUGACUCCAAGGGAGAUGCCACCAGAGGACAAAGGUGCCCCCGAGUGACUCUAAAUGUUGGCUUCCGCGAUUCAGUCAAAACCGUUUCCUGGGGCUGGGGAUUUAGCUCAACGGCAAAGCGCCUGCCUGGCAAGCGCAAGGUCAUGAGUUCGGUUCCCGGUACCGGAGAAAAACCAAAAAAAAAAAAAAAAAAAAAAAAACCGUUUCCUAAUUUACACUGGACUGAGGACAAGGAAGAGGGCUGCAGUCAACCCGCCUGGCUCCUCCAGCUCUGUCUAACGCAAGUGCCACAAUCUGACGCGUCCUAACUGCGCUUCUUUCUUUGGCAACUCCAGCUUUGACAAGAGAGCAAGAACAUCUCCCUCUGACAGGAACAGGGUGUGAAGUGAAAGACUUCAGGGGCUGCACGGGCUCCUGACGGUUCACGAGAAAGCGCCUCCCACCUGUUCUGCACGUGCCUGUGCAGGUGAGUCACCUCACCGCCAGCCAGGCAAGUAUUUUAAGAAACGAGGAGUCAAAGCCAGAACCCGUAGAGAAAGACGGGGGAUGGAGUAUUGCCAUUAGCUUCCAGGGUGUCUUGUUGUCAUGGUGCUAGGAAAAUCACCUCCAUUUGAGUCCCACUCAGCAGCUGUUUUGCUGGAAUCUUUGCGUGAGAGGCUGGUGGCCACCCUAACACAGGCGUGGGACAUGGUGUACACUCGCGUAGACCUGCAGCAGACACCCACUCCAUGGGGCUCACACUGGUUGCCUGACAUAGUUGAAACACUGUGCUCAUGCGGAUGACGGCUCUGUUCCCCCAGAUCAGCUUGAAAACAGCCGGAGUGACCCUGCUGGUUACACGUACCAUGGGACAUCACCGGAAGCUUUGUAGCAGAGCCUGAACUGCAGGAACCCACCUCAGUCUCUGCUCCCUCGUCCCGCAUGUGGCUCUGGAAAAUGUUCCCAUUGCCUAUUUCUUAAAUAUUAGUUGAAGGGUCAGGUCUUACACCAUCCUGAGGGGCGCGGUCAGCCAGGCCCUGGGUGUGAGGUGUUGGGAAAGGCAGAUGGCUGGAGCUCACCUAUCACCUCAUGCUGGGGCAGGUGCAUUCCAC
ensembl:lincRNA